rnacentral:rRNA from 1 species
ACGUUAGCGGCGGACGGGUGAGUAACACGUGGGUAACCUACCUAUAAGACUGGGAUAACUUCGGGAAACCGGAGCUAAUACCGGAUAAUAUUUCGAACCGCAUGGUUCGAUAGUGAAAGAUGGUUUUGCUAUCACUUAUAGAUGGACCUGCGCCGUAUUAGCUAGUUGGUAAGGUAACGGCUUACCAAGGCGACGAUACGUAGCCGACCUGAGAGGGUGAUCGGCCACACUGGAACUGAGGCACGGUCCAGACUCCUACGGGAGGCAGCAGGA